GCGCCCGUGGCUCAAUUGGAUAGAGCAUCAGAUUUCGGCUCUGAGGGUUGAGGGUUCGAAUCCUUCCGGGCGUA
rnacentral:tRNA from 1 species